AAUAUUGGACAAUGGGGGCAACCCUGAUCCAGCCAUGCCGCGUGUGUGAAGAAUGUCUUCGGAUUNUAAAGCACUUUAAGUUGUGANGAAGGGCUUUAGGCUAAUACCCUGAAGUCUUGACGUUACCAACAGAAUAAGCACCGGCUAACUCUGUGCCAGCAGCCGCGGUAAUACAGAGGGUGCAAGCGUUAAUCGGAAUUACUGGGCGUAAAGCGCGCGUUGGUGGUUCAGUAAGAUGGGUCUGAAAUCCCCGGGCUUAACCUGGGAACUGCUUUCAUAACUGCUGAGCUAGAGUACGGUAGAGGGUAGAGGAAUUUCCUGUGUAGCGGUGAAAUGCGUAGAUAUAGGAAGGAACACCAGUGGCGAAGGCGACUACCUGGACUGAUACUGACACUGAGAUGCGAGAGCGUGGGGAGCAAACA
rnacentral:rRNA from 1 species